rnacentral:rRNA from 1 species
AUUGAACGCUGGCGGCAUGCCUUACACAUGCAAGUCGAACGGUAACAGGUCUUCGGAUGCUGACGAGUGGCGAACGGGUGAGUAAUACAUCGGAACGUGCCUAGUAGUGGGGGAUAACUACUCGAAAGAGUGGCUAAUACCGCAUGAGAUCUACGGAUGAAAGCAGGGGAUCGCAAGACCUUGUGCUACUAGAGCGGCCGAUGGCAGAUUAGGUAGGUGGUGGGAUAAAAGCUUACCAAGCCGACGAUCUGUAGCUGGUCUGAGAGGACGAUCAGCCACACUGGGACUGAGACACGGCCCAGACGCCUACGGGAGGCAGCAGUGGGGAAUUUUGGACAAUGGGCGCAAGCCUGAUCCAGCAAUGCCGCGUGCAGGAUGAAGGCCUUCGGGUUGUAAACUGCUUUUGUACGGAACGAAAAGCCCUGGGUUAAUACCCUGGGGUCAUGACGGUACCGUAAGAAUAAGCACCGGCUAACUACGUGCCAGCCGCCGCCGUAAUAC